rnacentral:rRNA from 1 species
UACGUAGGGUCCGAGCGUUGUCCGGAAUUAUUGGGCGUAAAGGGCUCGUAGGCGGUUCGUCACGUCGGGAGUGAAAACUCGGGGCUUAACCCCGAGCCUGCUUCCGAUACGGGCAGACUAGAGGUAGGCAGGGGAGAGCGGAACUCCUGGUGUAGCGGUGGAAUGCGCAGAUAUCAGGAAGAACACCCGGUGGCGAAGGCGGCUCUCUGGGCCUUACCUGACGCUGAGGAGCGAAAGCGUGGGUAGCGAACGGG